rnacentral:sRNA from 1 species
AGUCACAAGCUCUUAAGCAACUACAGGUCAACGCUUGAGACCGUUUUGGAUUUCUGUUAGCACUUGUUUCUGUUGCCCAAGAAGAUCCUUUCCAAGACUUCAGCAGGCAUACUGGCUUCGGGAAAAUUCAGAAACUCAGUGACCUUGUUUGGAAAUAGAUCUGAAACUAGACAAUGUCCUGUUGGACCACGAGGGUCACUGUAAACUGGCAGACUUCGGAAUGUGCAAGGAGGGGAUUUGCAAUGGUGUCACCACGGCCACAUUCUGUGGCACGCCAGACUAUAUCGCUCCAGAGAUCCUCCAGGAAAUGCUGUACGGGCCUGCAGUAGACUGGUGGGCAAUGGGCGUGUUGCUCUAUGAGAUGCUCUGUGGUCACGCGCCUUUUGAGGCAGAGAACGAAGAUGACCUCUUUGAGGCCAUACUGAAUGAUGAGGUGGUCUACCCUACCUGGCUCCAUGAAGAUGCCACAGGGAUCCUAAAAUCUUUCAUGACCAAGAACCCCACCAUGCGCUUGGGCAGCCUGACUCAGGGAGGCGAGCAUGCCAUCUUGAGACAUCCUUUUUUUAAGGAAAUCGACUGGGCCCAGCUGAACCAUCGCCAAAUAGAACCACCUUUCAGACCCAGAAUCAAAUCCCGAGAAGAUGUCAGUAAUUUUGACCCUGACUUCAUAAAGGAAGAGCCAGUUUUAACUCCAAUUGAUGAGGGACAUCUUCCAAUGAUUAACCAGGAUGAGUUUAGAAACUUUU